UACGUAGGGGGCAAGCGUUGUCCGGAAUUAUUGGGCGUAAAGCGCGCGCAGGCGGCUAUUUAAGUCUGGUGUUUAAACCUUGGGCUCAACCUGGGGUCGUACUGGAAACUGGGUGGCUUGAGUACAGAAGAGGAAAGUGGAAUUCCACGUGUAGCGGUGAAAUGCGUAGAGAUGUGGAGGAACACCAGUGGCGAAGGCGACUUUCUGGGCUGUAACUGACGCUGAGGCGCGAAAGCGUGGGGAGCAAACAGG
rnacentral:rRNA from 1 species